rnacentral:rRNA from 1 species
UACAGAGGUCUCAAGCGUUGUUCGGAUUCAUUGGGCGUAAAGGGUGCGUAGGCGGCGCGGUAAGUCGGGUGUGAAAUCUCGGAGCUUAACUCCGAAACUGCCAUUGAUACUAUUUGUCUUGAAUACUUUGGAGGUAAGCGGAAUAUGUCAUGUAGCGGUGAAAUGCUUAGAUAUGACAUAGAACACCAAUUGCGCAGGCAGCUUACUACACAGUAAUUGACACUGAGGCACGAAAGCGUGGGGAUCAAACAGG